CGAGAUUCCCCCAGUAGCGGCGAGCGAACGGGGAGCAGCCCAGAGCCUGAAUCAGUGUGUGUGUUAGUGGAAGCGUCUGGAAAGGCGUGCGAUACAGGGUGACAGCCCCGUACACAAAAAUGCACAUGCUGUGAGCUCGAUGAGUAGGGCGGGACACGUGGUAUCCUGUCUGAAUAUGGGGGGACCAUCCUCCAAGGCUAAAUACUCCUGACUGACCGAUAGUGAACCAGUACCGUGAGGGAAAGGCGAAAAGAA
rnacentral:rRNA from 1 species